GGUGGGUAGCGAAUCUGUUUUUGGGAUUUUUUUAGUUAAUUAAUUUAACACAUAUAAGCAAACUUACUAAACAAACUUGGUAUGUAUUCAUACAUUUAUUCAUUAUUAUUAAUUAUAAGUAAAAAAAGAGGUUAUGAAUUUGAAAUGGAACAAGAAUUUAGGGAGGUUGGGGGCACAGAAAAAGGAAUGAAGGAUGCUAUAAUUUUAUUUUAAGUAAAAUAAAAAAUAUAUUAAGUUUGUUCAAAGCAAAGUUCUGCCUUCAAUAACACAUUCAACUCUGUGUAUGAGGAAGUGUCUUUGGCUCUCCCUUUCUUCAUGGGAAUUGGAAGUUAAUGAACUAUAAUAAAUAGCUACACUAUGUCACUGCUGUUGCUAUAGGUAAUAGUGUCUUAGUCUUAGGUCUCUACCUACCCCAAGAGACUUCUACUAUACUUCACAAAAGCUAAGACAUUAGUUUUUAAGAAAGGUAAAUUCUCAGGUGUUUCACAUCUUGACAGUUGUUGUGUAGUUUCUUAAUGAAAACUCCUAUUCUCUAGGCCAACUACCACUUUCUAAUUCUUACUCAUUACCUCUGUUCCCUGAAUUCAAAAGUUUUGUGUGUGUGUGUGUGUGUGUGUGUGUGUGUGUGUGUGUAUUCUAUGCAGAACAAAUUCCCUUUGUUGUGUGCAAAUUAGCACUCCUGUGUGAAUCUGUUUAUCCUCAAAAACUUGCUUUAAUCCUUUGUUAAGGAAUAGGAAAAUGCUGAAUAGAUGCUGAGGUCAACUCUAAAAUUGCACUGGAUGGUUCAUUUCUUUGACCCAAUACCCACACAUUUUGAGCCCAAUGUUAUAAGUUUAUCAGUCCAAAAGUCUCAUUUGGGUUUGGGGCAGACUAGGUCUAUUUCAGACAUAGUGACCUUAGUUGGCUGUAUACAUGAGGGAGAUUCUGUGACCCAUUUAAGCAUCUGCUCAAUAAUUCGCACCUUGUUCGAUGGAUGCCUGUAAGUGUCAAACCAAAGCUGUUAGUAGGUAUUCUUUGAAAUGUGUAUUUCAGCUCUACACUCACUAUUUAAAAAAACAGACCAUUCUAAUAAUUUUUUCUAAUAAAGUCAAUACUUAUUCUGUAGUUUUACCUGAGAAAGAGAAAAAUAAAAGAAUAAUAGGAAGGGCUUUCACAGGGGCUUUAAACUAGCUAGUAAAAGUGGCACUCGGAGCAAACACAUUAAAAUUCUAUUUUCCUUUACAAGUGUUUGGUGCAGAUGACCCCCACUGAUCUUAAAUAUAUUUCUGUAUCUCUAACUGAAUAGAGGUUUUCCGUACAGCAUGUUCUAAUGGCACUCUGGCCUUUAGCCAACAAGGCAGUGAAUAAGGCUAUUUUUAAAAUACAGAAGCUGGGAACAGCUGCAGCAAUCAAAUUUGAUAAAAACAGAGAGGAACUUUGCUUUUUUUUUCCCCUAACGGUUUGUCCAAGUUUAGUCUUCUUUCAUAGAACUGCCUUUGUCCUGUUGUAUGAAGGGCUACAAGACCAAUACAGUGAAGCCCUUUUAAACAAAUAACUUCUACAAGAAUACAACUAAAAAGAAUCAUUUUCCUUUGUCCCAAGGAUAUCAAUGCAGUGGUGUUUUGAACUUUUUUUUUAAAGUUUUACAUUUUGUAUGAGCAUUCAGAAGAAAAGUGAAGCACAUGAGUGAAGUCUACGAUC
rnacentral:lncRNA from 1 species